GGGGUUGUUUAGUUUCGACAGGUUGUUCAUUAAAAAUUUGCAAGCCGAUCACUGUGGUCAAAUCGAAAAACUGCCACAAAGAUACAUAAUUGCAAACAUCGUAUCAAAAGUAAAAGGAGCAUUUGCGCAAGCAUUUUCAACUUCUUUUGCAACAGCUUUGGCCUAAUAUUGUGCCGGAGCCAUCGAAUUGCUGAUUUCUCAUAAGCAAACCUCGGUGUCAACUAUGGGAAUAGCAUUAAUUAUUUUCUCUACAUAAUUUUUGCGACAAUUGCGCUAGAGACAAAUUAACUGGAUUUUGUAUGUUUUUCACUUGUUAAUUUCGUACAAAUAAACAUUCUAAGCUUGUAGAAAAUUUUUAAUAUAUAAUUCUGGACAUGGGUGCAAUUCCCAUCAACUCCACCG
rnacentral:tmRNA from 1 species